rnacentral:rRNA from 1 species
AGUGAACGCUGGCGGUAGGCCUAACACAUGCAAGUCGAACGGCAGCACAGUAUGAGCUUGCUCUUACGGGUGGCGCGUGGCGGACGGGUGAGGAAUACAUCGGAACCUACUUUUUCGUGGGGGAUAACGUAGGGAAACUUACGCUAAUACCGCAUACCACCUACGGGUCAAAGCAUGGGAUCUUCGGACCUUGCGCGAUUGAAUGAGCCGAUGUCGGAUUAGCUAGAUGGCGGGGUAAAGGCACACCAAGGCGAUGAUCCGUAGCUGGUCUGAGAGGAUGGUCAGCCACAUGGGAACUGAGGCACGGCCCAGACUCCUACGGGAGGCAGCAGUGCGGAAUAUUAGACAAUGGGCGGGAGGCUGAUCCAGCCAAACCGCGUGGGGGCAGAAGGCGUUCGGGUUGGAGAGCCAUGUUGUUGUGAGAGAAGAACAGCAGGUUAAUACGCCGCUGUUCUGACGGUACCCAAAGAAUAAGCACCGGCUAACUUCGUG